AUGGCGUUGGAGGCCGUGGUGUUCUCGAAAGGGUUCUUUGGGCGCUGCGCCAUGGCUGCUGAAGGAGUAGGAGGAGGCGGUGGCGUUUGGGGCGGGAAUGGCCACGGGCACGGCGGUGGCAUGGAGUUGGACGGAAGCAAUGCCCACUGCGGCGCCGCCGUUGCGAGCACCGAAGCCCCGGAAGGCAGUUCUUCCUUGCCGGCGCUGCCGCCGCCGGGGCACGGCAGUGACCCUGGAGGCGCGGACGACGGUGCCGUGGACGCGGCGUCGGCGUCAGGUGCAGCAGGGAGGAGGAAGCGGCGAAGAGCGAGGAGCGUGAAGAACAUUGAGGAGGCGGAGAGCCAGCGGAUGACCCACAUCGCCGUCGAGCGCAACCGCCGCAAGCAGAUGAACGAGUACCUUGGCGUGCUCCGGUCCCUCAUGCCGGCCUCCUAUGUGCACAGGGGCGACCAGGCAUCCAUAAUUGGCGGCGCAAUCAACUACGUCAAGGAGCUGGAGCAGCUAGUUCAAUCCCUGGAGGCGCACCGGCACGCCCGCCUCCGCGACGACUGUCCCGUCAGCGGCGACGUCGAUUCCGCGGCCGCAGUGCCCUUUUUAGACUUCUUCACCUUCCCGCAGUACACGAUGAGCGUGCGCCACGCCCCGGCCACACCAGCAGCAGGCGCUCUCGCGGACGACGGCGGCGGCAAUGCCGCCGACGACGACACGACGUCGGGCUCGAAGCAGUCGGCCGUGGCGGACAUCGAGGUGACCAUCGUGGAGAGCCACGCGAGCCUGAAGGUGCUGUCGCGGCGGCGGCCGACGCAGCUGCUGAGGAUCGUGGCGGGCCUGCAGGGCCACCGGCUCGCCGUGCUGCACCUCAACGCCACCAGCGCCGGCCACAUGGCCCUCUACUGCCUCAGCCUCAAGGUGGAAGACGACUGCCGGCUCUCGUCGGUGGCCGACAUCGCCGCGGCGGUCCACCGUAUCCUCGAGACGAUCGAGCGUGAGGAGGAGGAGGAGCGGCGGCAGCAGCAGAGCUGUACGUAG
rnacentral:rRNA from 1 species